CUUGGUCAUUUAGAGGAAGUAAAAGUCGUAACAAGGUUUCCGUAGGUGAACCUGCGGAAGGAUCAUUAAUGUAACCGGACCGGUCCUCUGCCGUCAAACGCAGCGGAUCGGAAAGGGAGAUAUCAUACACCCUGUGUUUAUUUACCUUUGUUGCUUUGGCGGGCCGCCCUUUAGGCGUCGGCUCCGGCUGAUCGCGCCCGCCAGAGGACCCAAACUCUUUUAUCAGUGAUGUCUGAGUACUAUAUAAUAGUUAAAACUUUCAACAACGGAUCUCUUGGUUCUGGCAUCGAUGAAGAACGCAGCGAAAUGCGAUAAGUAAUGUGAAUUGCAGAAUUCAGUGAAUCAUCGAAUCUUUGAACGCACAUUGCACCCUUGAGUAUUCUCAGGGGUAUGCCUGUUCGAGCGUCAUUGCAACCCUCAAGCACUGCUUGGUAUUGGAUGCCAUCAACUGUGGUGUAUCUCAAAAGUAUUAGUGGCAGCGUUCAGCUUCUAGUGUAGUAAUUUCUCGCUCUGGAGUUUUGAGUGCCUGUCUGCUAGAACCCCUAAUUUUUAAAAGGUUGACCUCGGAUCAGGUAGGGAUACCCGCUGAACUUAAGCAUAUCAAUAAGCGGAGGAA
rnacentral:sRNA from 1 species